AUGUAUUCAGCAAACUGUUCAUUCUUACAGUGUUACAGAAAUUUAAACAGUCUUAAGUAUGGAAAACUUAUGAACACCCCUUUGAAAGCAUACACCUUGCCCCAGUUUCUGCUGCAACCAAAGGAGACUCCAACUCUCCAAUUCCAAUUUUGCAGGCACUUCGCAGAAUUGCUUUUUUCCACGAUAAUGAGCAAGAACGGGGUCCUGGAGCCCUCUGGUGGAUGUCUUGCAGAAGACAGGCAGCUGAAAGCUGCUUCAAACAUGAACUCAUGUACUCACUAAAACUUCAAGUGAUGCGCUCUUCAGAGGCAUGUCUCCUUUAUGAAUGGGCCUGAAGACAACUUAUGAAGUCUUUCUUUACAGUACUGAAAGAAAAGCAGUGAAAGAAGCUAAAGGUGGGCACUGUAGCAAUUGCUCUAGGUGACUGUUUGGGCUUUGCUGCCAGCAAACACUUUUUUCUGUUGCUCCUUGUACCGCAGCUGAGGGGAUGGCACCUUUUUUCUCGCUUCUGCUCAACUUCGUCUAGUUCAAGUUGCGGGAGGCUGCCGUGGCUUGCAGUUCAGCUACCUACAUGAAAUAAGUGUGCUGUUCUCAGCCUGCUUCCUGAGGCAGCCCCGUGGCUGGCAAUAAUAGUAAUUUAAUUGUUUAUUUCAGGUUCUUCUGAAGUGGGGUCAUGAAGGAGGCUUUGUCCUACUGCUGCUUUUGUUUUAUGGCAUUUUUAAGGACAGAGGAAGAUCGGGACUUGGGAUAAAGGCCUAUGACUGACCUCAGCAACCAGAGCUCCAACCUGUCCUUAAAUCCACACGGAGGAUGGUUGCCAGACACUUUCUAGUGUGAGUCUGGACUCCGCUUUCCAUCUGACAGAGCAGCAGUUUAGGAAUCAGCCCUCUCUUUGCCCUACUUACCCUGGUGCUACCUUCUAACACAGGAAAGCUGUUGGCACAAGCACCAGACUGUCACUUUUGUGCCUGAGGGAGGAAAGAGAGGAGUCCUCACCCCAUCUUCCUUUUCAGACAGUCUCCAGGAGUUUUGGAAGGAGCUUUUUACAAGCCCUCUUCUAUUGUUGGCCAGGAGACAAAGGAACGGAGGAGCUGGAUUUAAGCAUAAUGACGUGAGCUCCUCCAUGCAGAAAAACCCAGCUGAGAGACCCCCCCUGCUCCCCACACACACAAAAAAAGGAAGAAAGGGGGAGAAAAUCUUUGAAAAUAACUAAUUAAAGUUGUUUUAGCCUCUCUCUCUCCCCUCCAAGGGCGCCUAAUCUCACAGGGGGCAAAGGGGGAAGAGAGGCAGGAGGAACAAUACGAACCAUCCCCCCCUCUCUACAGCCCACCUCCUGGUCUCUGAGGUUUUAAAACAAGAGGCCACUUUAAGUUAAUGAGCUAUCAGCUGACUGGGAGAAGUCUCUAAUGAAGCCUGAUGUUCACACAUUCCCUGGCUUGCUGAAUAGGCCUCUGCCAACCCCAUAACUGUCAGAGUUUCAUUCAUAAAAUCCACAUGCUGGGGGGGUGCUGGUGAGGGGGGCAGGAAGGGAGCUGGGUGGGGAUGGGGUGGAGGUCUCCAUAUGGAGCAGUCAGCCCCAGAGGCUGGACGGACACAUGGACGGCUGGGGCUAGCAGCCUGGAGGAUCCCAGGGACCUGACUCCGCUCCCCAUUGUCUGGCUAGUAAUUAGGAGGAUCCUCCAAAUGCUUCUAGAGGAUGCUGAAGUCUCUGGGGAUAAUUAGUGAAGAUUUGGAGGCUUUUCCAGCUGUUGUGUCACCAGUUUUGCUAGGGCCAAAGGGGCAGGUGAUGGUGAGGAGCAGUGGGAUGAAGCCUAAGAGUCCUUCUGGGGCUUUGCUGUGCGGGUAGUGUUUUGCUGAGCCUCAUGUCUUCGGGCAGAGCUCUAGGAGCUGUGUGUGAACGCUUAUAGAGGAAAAACUAUAUUUCCUUUAACAUAGAAAAAAACUUGGUGAUGCUUGCCAGAGCUAAUUCUCCUUGGGUGGUGCAGGUGUUUUUGGCAAGAGUAAAGAGAAAAUAUGCAGAUACAAGAUGUACUGGGAAAUAAUAGGUUGUCUGUUAGCACUGAUGAGCUCUGAAACAAUCUACCUGUGAUGUUCUGCCUGCUGUUAUGUGGGGUGCUUAAAUCCAGGGCUCUGAAGCCAAAUCCUAGCCAGGACAAAACUACAAGGUCAAUUCUGUUCGUGCAUGGGAUGG
rnacentral:lncRNA from 1 species